UCCUGGUGGCUCAGAUGGUAAAGAAUCUGCCUGCAAUGCAGGAAAACCAGGGUUCGAUCCCUGGUUCAGGAA
rfam:TPA: Bos taurus chromosome 18, whole genome shotgun sequence.